UUCAUCCAGAAGGGUGGAGGGAGCAGGCCCUCUGAAGCCCUGGCAACCGCCCCGGCGACCGUCGGGGAAAGGUGCCCCGUCCUGCCCCGACAAGCUGUCGGGGAAAGAUGAGA
rnacentral:ncRNA from 1 species